rnacentral:misc_RNA from 1 species
GCAGUGAAAAUUUGGGUCGGAGAAAUUGUUGGCAGCAACAGUGUUGACGAGAGCAAGUAGAAGAAAGGUUUUCUGAUGUUUGAAAUUAUUGAGUUAUUACAUGAUUGGUAGAGGUUCAAACAGCAGCAGUGUGAGGGUGAGGGUGAGGAUGAGGGGUGAGGGAUGGUCCUGCUGAUGCAAGUGCAAAUUGUAAACCUCUAUGCUGUCCAUGUUGUAGUACAAACGCCACUUGUGUUGCAGCCAGUGCUGCUGCCUCCUGUCUUUGUCUUCGACGUUGCAGGAUACUAAUGGCCCAGGCCAUGAUGUAGCAAGGUAACAGAAAACCAGCAGCACGAAGCAAGAAAAUAGAGAAAAAGGCAGAUGCGUCAUCAUCACCGUCAGGAUCUGUUAUGGUCAAUGCAUGCCGCAGAAGGAGAAGGGCUAGUAGAAUAAGAGCAGCUGAUCGACAAAAUGCAGCUCCACUGUCAUUUGAAGCAGCAUAAUCAUCAU